rnacentral:miRNA from 1 species
CAGAGCAGAAGCAGAGCAGAAGCAGAGCAGAAGCAGAGCAGAAGCAGAGCAGAAGCAGAGCAGAAGCAGAGCAGAAGCAGAGCAGAAGCAGAGCAGAGGCAGAGCAGAGGCAGAGCAGAAGCAGAGCAGAAGC